CGCGCACUGAAUCAAGGGAAGCGUGCCGGUGCAGGCAAGAGACCACCGUAAGCGUCGUUGCGACCAAAUAAGCGCCGAUUCACAUCAGCGCGACUACGCUCUCGCUGCCUAAGCGACGGCUAGUCUGUCAGACCGGGAACGCCCUCGGCCCGGACCCUGGCAUCAGCUAGAGGGAUCCACCGAUGAGUCCGGUCGCGGGACUCCUCGGGACAACCACAGCGACUGGGAUCGUCAUCUCGGCUAGUUCGCGUGACCGGGAGAUCCGAGCAGAGGCAUAGCGAACUGCGCACGGAGAAGCCUUGAGGGAAUGCCGUAGGACCCGG
rnacentral:misc_RNA from 1 species